UUUUUGACAGCUAAUCUGAGAUGUUGCUACCACCUAAAAUAUUAAUAAAUCUUGUUCUAAAAAGAACUAUGGCCCGGCUGUGGAGGCACUGGCAUGAGCACUGAUAGAGCUUACUGCUCACUUACUUAACCAUAUAAAAUUACUUCAAGAAUUUUUACAGUUCUUCAGUAGUAGUAGUAUGUACUUUUUAUAUUUUGUUAAAAUGAUAAUGUUAUCUUUGGCGUCGUUGCAUCGUUUAGGAACACAGAUAACCAACCAAUAUUGACAUUCACAAACCACCUGACGAAAUGACGUGACAAACUCGCAACUGACAAAUAGAAAAAUACAACACAAUAACACGAAAUCUGCAUACAAAAAGAAUUUGCUUCGAAAUCAACAAUGAAUUUCAAACUGUGCGUGUUUUUGUUCACCUUGCUGACGGUCACAAAUGUCGAGGCGGCACAAGGCUAUGAUUUCGGUGACUUCUUGGCGACAGUUUUAGGACUCGGAAUCGCUGCAAUAGGAAUCCUCGCAUGUUUAGGCAAAUAUGCGCGACAGCAAGCAAGAAACGAAUUCAUAUAAGACGCCACAAGAACAUGCCAGUACUGAUACUACACAAAGAAAGUGGUGGAACAACCUACAUGUAACGUAAAAUAAAUAUUACCAUGCUGUUCAAAUAAUUCUUGCUUAUAAUUGACACAAUUUGGCCACAAUGUGCAAAAUUUGUGUACAUUACAAUGUCGGAAGCAAAACAUAUUUUUGUAAUGUAGUUUCUCCACUUUAUUAUAUUAUACUGUAAAGCUAUCGAAUAUGUAGAAAAUGUAGGAUAUAAGUAUAUUUUUUGUAUGGAAUAAUACAUCUGUUUUCAGACAAACAUUAAUUUGGAUCUGAGUAUACAUAAUGAUAUUGAACAAAACUUUGUAGUUAACAUUUAUUUUAACAAACUUCUGAAAAAUGUGUUUAUCUUUUUGUCUGAAAACAGAAAAGCCUGACCAACAAGAUAUUGUGAUAUUUCUUGUAUUAUGUUAGAGAUAUCUGCUGGAUAGGCUCCAACAUAAUUAUUUUUGUUACAUUCUUGUUUUAGAAUCAUAACCUCAAUAAUUUAAUUUGGUAAUAAAUAUUUUAUUUAAUUAUA